rnacentral:tRNA from 1 species
GGGGUUGUAACUCAGUAGGUUAGAGUGAAGUGUUGAUAACGCUUAAGUCGAUGGUUCGAGUCCAUCCAGCCUCA